CCAGUUCCCAGACUACUUGAACAAGGACUUGAGAAUCCCCUAAAUAUGCCUUCACCCACAACCAGCAGGAAGCGAUUUUAAGAACACAACGCCCACAUUCCCCAAGAGGCGGUGUGGAGCAGACAUGGCAGCACCUGGCAGCACCAAUCU